UCCACCAUGUUGUAGGAAACCCGCCGCCGCUCCUCACUCACUGCCAGAUUAGAGUUUAAUCCGAGGUGGAGGAGGAGAAUACUCUGUCAAGACGCUGUCUGCAUCUUGGGAGGACUUGCGCUCUUUCUGCGUUCUGAAUAACCGCGUUUUGCCCUGCUGCUGUCACUUUUCCUUUCAACCAGCGACCUGCACGCUGAAGAUGAAACGCCAGUCUUCCGCUGCCGUCUUCGCCUGGCCGCCGACUUGCCAAUACGUUAAGAUGUUAGCUGGCUAACUAGCUGAAAAAGAAUAACUAAGUCGGAUUAGCUGCUAACGGCAGCCUCCUCCUGGCUAACAACCGGGUAUUAUUUGCCGUACUUGACAACUAUUGCAUAUCAAGCGUUUGCAUGCGUUUGUGCUUUUUACAUUUCUACCAUAGUGUCAAAACUCCUACUUUGUGCUUUAGUUAUUCGUUAACGUUAAUGUUUCUGCACGCUAGCUACGUUAUUAGCUAGUCAAACCACAAUAACAGCUGGACCUCUUUCGUUCGCUAAUCUUUGCUGUUCGUGAGAGAGGGCGAACACAGAAGUAGUGGUGCCUCUGACCCUCCAGCGGAAAGUCAAGACGGAGGUGACGGUCGGACUUGGGUGCUAGCUGGUCUCAAGGCUAGCGGGGCUGAGAAGUGUUCGAGAUUUAAACCCCAGCACAUUAGCGUCCAGUGGAAACAUGUCAGGAAAGGAUAAAGAUAAACCGGAGAAACAGUCCACAACGGAACGGCUCAUAAAAGCUGUGCCAUACCCUCCACAACAUAAGCUGACUAUGAAAGAGCUAUAUGAAGAUGGCAAGCCCAAUGCUGAGCUGCUCCGCAACCACCUCGUCAAAGAGGGCCGGGUGGAAGAAGACGUGGCUCUGAAGAUUAUCAAUGAUGGGGCCAACAUCCUCCGUCAAGAGAAGUGCAUGCUGGAAGUGGAGGCACCUAUUACAGUAUGUGGAGAUGUACAUGGGCAAUUCUUUGACCUUAUGAAGUUGUUUGAAGUCGGGGGUUCACCGAGUAACACACGCUAUCUUUUCCUUGGGGACUAUGUAGAUCGAGGAUACUUCAGUAUUGAGUGCGUUCUCUACCUCUGGUCACUCAAGAUCAACCACCCCACCACACUCUUCCUCCUGCGUGGGAACCACGAGUGCCGACAUCUCACCGAGUAUUUCACCUUCAAACAGGAAUGUAAAAUUAAAUACUCUGAACGGGUGUAUGACGCCUGUAUGGAGGCCUUUGACUGCCUGCCCCUCGCUGCCCUACUCAACCAGCAGUUCCUGUGUGUACACGGUGGACUCUCACCAGAAAUCAACUGCCUAGAUGACAUUAGAAAAUUAGACAGAUUUAAAGAGCCUCCAGCAUUUGGGCCAAUGUGUGACCUGAUUUGGGCAGACCCUGGUGAGGACUACGGCAGCGAAAAGACAUCAGAGCACUUCAACCACAACUCCGUCAGAGGCUGCUCUUACUUUUUCAGUUAUUCAGCAGUCUGUGACUUUUUGGUAAAUAAUAAUUUGCUGUCGGUAAUAAGAGCCCAUGAAGCACAGGAUGCAGGGUAUCGGAUGUACAGAAAAAGCCAGACCACAGGUUUCCCUUCAUUAAUCACAAUCUUUUCAGCUCCAAAUUACCUAGAUGUCUACAACAACAAAGCUGCUGUAUUAAAAUACGAGAACAACGUGAUGAACAUCCGACAGUUCAACUGCUCCCCACAUCCUUACUGGUUGCCCAACUUUAUGGAUGUCUUCACAUGGUCUCUGCCUUUUGUUGGAGAGAAAGUGACGGAGAUGCUGGUGAAUGUCCUCAACAUUUGCUCCGACGAUGAGCUCAUGUCAGAGGGAGAUGACCUGUAUGAAGGUGGCACCUCAGCGAUGCGUAAGGAGGUUAUUCGGAACAAGAUUCGUGCUGUGGGGAAAAUGGCUCGAGUCUUCGCAGUUCUCAGGGAGGAAAGUGAGAGUGUGUUAACACUCAAAGGCCUGACCCCAACUGGAACUCUUCCAGUGGGAGUGUUGUCUGGGGGAAAGCAGACCUUACAGAGUGAUAAGUGGAAGAAAAUGGAUGGCUGUACAUAAUUUUCAUUUUCAAGACCUGCUCUGCCUGCCAUUUGGAGAUCUGCUGCCCUGGAGGAGGCUAAUAAUUCAGGUUUAACUUAAAAACAGACAACUUCAGCAUGAUGUAAGCAACAAAAAAAAAGAGCAUCCAAGUUUUGUCUUCAGUUUUAGUAGUCACACGAUUGGUAUUAUUGAUAUUAUUAUUAUUAUUAUUAGCUACAUUGAUAAUAAUUGAGCUAAAGCUUUCCGUCUUGAUAUUCAAUGUGUUGAGACCAGCUUCCCCAUCCUGCUAAAGUCUCUUUGAAGGCUUCAAGAUCAAUGCCGGUAUUCCCGCCACAGGAAGCGCCGUGAGGACUUUGACUGGUGCCCCCCGCCUCCAGCUUUGGGGCUGAGCUGUGGGUCGGCUGGUUGGGGAGGUCAGCCUGUCACCUGGAAGUGGCUACUGACCCUUUGAUCUAAAGCUACCAUUGAGGCAGCUAAAGCAAAAGGCUUUUCUCCUACAAGGAAGAUUC